rnacentral:rRNA from 1 species
GAUGAACGCUGGCGGCGUGCCUAAUACAUGCAAGUCGAGCGAACGGACGAGAAGCUUGCUUCUCUGAUGUUAGCGGCGGACGUGUGAGUAACACGUGUAUAACCUACCUAUAAUACUGGUAUAUCUUCGGGAAACCGGAGCUAAUACCGUAUGAUCUUUUGAACCGCAUGGUUCAAAGGUGAAAUACGGUCUUGCUGUCACUUAUAGAUGGAUCCGCGCUGCAUUAGCUAGUUGGUAAGGUCACGGCUUACCAAGGCAACGAGGCAUAGACGACCGGAGAGGGUGGUAGGCGACACUGGAAGGGGGACGCGCACAUGAGUACUGAGGGAGGGAGCAGUAGGGAAUGGUACGCAGUGGGCGAAAGCAUUGCGGAGUAAGGGGAAGCGAGUGAUGAAGACCCUGGGUUCGUAAAAAUCUGUUAUUAGGGAAGAACCUAUGUGUAAGUAAAUGUGCAGAUCUUGACGGUAAUUAAUAAGAAAGCCACGGCUAACUACGUG